GAGGCCGUAUAUCCUGCCUCCGCGGCCACCUACCCUCGCGGGCGGAGCGGCGGCCUCGCUGUACCGCAGGGGCGAGAUGUAGCGAGCGGGGCGCCGCGGCUGGACGCUCGCCUUGGCCGGGGGUGCGGGGGGCGCGCCGGGGCCGAGGAGGAUUGCGGAGGAGGAGUGAUGAGAAGAGGGGGAGCCCUGCACCCCCCGAGACCACGGGUCCCUGCUGCCACUCGCCAGGCGCCCCCUUUCCUCCCGAGCGAGAGGCAGGUGUUACCACACAGAUUCUCGUAACUUGAAGGACCAGGGAUUUAGGACAGGACAAGGUCUUCCCAGGAAGGAAGGAAAUCUCUGGAGGAAAGUGGAAGGACAGCAGACACUGCCCUGGGACCAGCAGAGCCCGAGGAGCUGUGGGAGGCCAAAGGAGCCGCAGCCCUAGGCCGGGGCUUACCUUCCAAAGGAUUUGAACUCAAGCUACUUUUCAUGAAAGAAGGGCCACCUCAGAGGGCACCCCAGACUUGGCUGGGCUCUUCUACUCUGGAUGCCCCCUGCUCUGAGGAGCCUGCUGCUCACUCAGAACCAAAGAAGAGAAGAGGCCAAAUAAGCUUCUUCCCCCAGCACAGUGUUGGCCGGCCAGAGUCAGGCAUCUGGACCCCCGGUGGCUGGCUGCGGAGUCUGGUGGGGAGUUUCUUGCUUCCCUCCGGCUCGUAGCUUCAGUGCUUGAUGGGGCUGCCUGUCGGUGGACCAGUUUUUGCAGCACCUGGUAGGAGCAGAGAGCCGUGGGAAGAGGUCCCGCGGCGCCCAAGCCUGGGCUCACCCCAAGACUAAAUUCUUUUCCCGACUUAGAGAGGGAGAGAGAAAGCAAAAAGAAACAAAAAAAGAGAGAGAGAAAGGAAAGCUCCCCCUUCCCCUCCUCCCUUCCCGUCAUGUCCUCUAAGCCAGAGCCGAAGGACGCCCACCAGCUCAACGGGACUGGCCCUGCUCCCUCGCCCUGCUCUUCAGAUGGCCCCGGGCGAGAGCCCUUGGCCGGGACCUCAGAGUUCCUGGGGCCUGACGGGGCCGGCGUGGAGGUGGUGGUGAUCGAGUCCCGGGCCAACGCCAAGGGGGUCCGGGAGGAGGACGCCCUGCUGGAGAACGGGAGCCAGAGCAAUGAGAGUGAUGACGUCAGCACCGACCAUGGCCCCGCGCCGCCCUCUCCACUCAAGGAGACCUCCUUUUCCAUCGGGCUGCAAGUGCUGUUCCCCUUCCUCCUGGCAGGCUUUGGGACUGUGGCUGCUGGCAUGGUGCUGGACAUCGUGCAGCACUGGGAAGUCUUCCAGAAGGUGACAGAGGUCUUCAUCCUGGUGCCUGCACUGCUGGGGCUUAAGGGGAACCUGGAAAUGACCCUGGCAUCGAGGCUGUCCACUGCAGCCAACAUUGGGCACAUGGACACGCCCAAGGAGCUCUGGCGGAUGAUCACCGGGAACAUGGCCCUCAUCCAGGUGCAAGCCACGGUCGUGGGCUUCCUGGCAUCCAUCGCAGCCGUCGUCUUCGGCUGGAUCCCUGACGGCCACUUCAGUAUCCCGCACGCCUUCCUGCUCUGUGCCAGCAGCGUGGCCACGGCCUUCAUUGCCUCCCUGGUCCUGGGUAUGAUCAUGAUUGGAGUCAUCAUUGGCUCGAGAAAGAUUGGAAUCAACCCGGACAAUGUAGCCACGCCCAUUGCUGCCAGCCUGGGUGACCUCAUCACCUUGGCACUGCUCUCAGGCAUCAGCUGGGGACUCUACCUGGAGCAGGAUGACUGGCAAUACAUCUAUCCCCUGGUGUGUGCCUUCUUCGUGGCCCUGCUGCCUGUCUGGGUGGUGCUGGCCCGACGGAGCCCAGCCACAAGGGAGGUGUUGUACUCGGGCUGGGAGCCUGUCAUCAUUGCCAUGGCCAUCAGCAGUGUGGGAGGCCUCAUCCUGGACAAGACGGUCUCAGACCCCAACUUUGCAGGGAUGGCUGUCUUCACACCUGUGAUUAAUGGUGUUGGGGGCAAUCUGGUGGCAGUGCAGGCCAGCCGCAUCUCCACCUUCCUGCACAUGAAUGGGAUGCCAGGCGAGAACUCUGAGCAAGUCCCUCGCCGCUGCCCCAGUCCUUGUACUACCUUCUUCAGUCCCGAUGUGAAUUCUCGCUCGGCCCGAGUCCUCUUCCUUCUUGUGGUUCCAGGACACCUGGUGUUCCUCUACACCAUCAGCUGUAUGCAGGGCGGGCACACCACUCUCACGCUCAUCUUCAUCAUCUUCUACAUGACAGCCGCACUGCUCCAGGUGCUAAUUCUCCUGUACAUCGCAGACUGGAUGGUGCACUGGAUGUGGGGCCGGGGCCUGGACCCGGACAACUUCUCCAUCCCGUACUUGACAGCUCUGGGGGACCUGCUUGGCACUGGGCUCCUAGCACUCAGCUUCCACGUCCUCUGGCUCAUUGGGGACCGAGACACGGAUGUUGGGGACUAGCCUGGUCACUCAACCUUUCCCACCCCCCCGCCCCGCCCCCUGCACUUUCUGUUUGAAUUGUUUCUUUUGUUCCCCUUCCCCCACCCCACUCCACACCCCCACCUCUUUCUAGGACUUCACUUUGAUACCGAAUUCUCAUUAUUUUCAAUGGGAAUUUUUUUAUACAUUGAGCCAAGUUUGUACAGCAAAAAUUCAGACAGGACAGAUGGACUGAGAUAAGCCGUGCAAGUAGAUUUUUGAGACAAUCACCAAGUGCAAUUUCAUGACUCUGGCACUUCCUGAAAUCACUCCUGCUGUCAUGCUGUGGAGGUCAGUUUUCCUCUCUCUUGGCUUCUGCCCUCAUCCAUCAUUGACUUGUUCACCCAUUCAGCAAAUACACAGCCUCCCCAAGAGGAGCUCUUGUGCAGGCAUGGUCUGAAGCAUUCACUGAGCAGUAGUGAUUGGGUGCCUACCGUGUGUUAGGUACAAAGCCAGUGGUCGGGGAAGCAGCUUUAAGCUCACCUCAUUCCCCACAUACAAAGGCCUUGUGCCCCUUCCAAUCUGACAGAGAAGGUUUCCUUGCUAGAAGUGUUUGCAUCCGUGUCCUCAAGCCAGGCUCUGCCUCUCAGUCUCCCCUCUGUGCAGUGCCGAUCCCAGCAAGAGCCCCCAGCCCCAUCGCUCAACCAGCAGCUCAUUUCCUGGAACUACCCAUCCUCACCUUUUCUUCCCUCCACCUCUCCUCCCCAGACACUCGAGAGAGGAUUCAGACCCAGCAGGCUGGACAGCACCAGCUGCUGCUACUCGUCUCUGCCUAGUACAAGAUUCAGGGAACACUGGAGCCUCUGCAUCUGCCCCACCCACUGCUCUGACCAGAUCAGAAGUCUGUCCACA